rnacentral:rRNA from 1 species
CAUUUCUACUUUGAAUUUUUUCGCCGGAUCCGACAAAUCCAACACCCUAUAUACGGCAACGUGAACCCCAGUUGACAGAUCGUCGCUAAUUUUUUUCGCUCUUUUCAUUAUUCUCUGUUCGUGGGUAAGUUUCCUAGCCAAAUUUGCCUCUUCAUGCUUUUUCAGCCGCUUCGCCAUCUGCUCCCUAACGUGGGCUUCCAUUUUCGUGGGAUCUUGUAUGGCUUGGCUUUCCAACACUCGCAUUAAAUUACUAAUUUUAACUUUGGGUUCCGGCGGUGGUUCGAGUCCAAGUCGAAUUUUUUCCGUCUUUUCACGUUGGGUUUCUUUGCGAUUUUGACGACGCAAUUUCUUCUGCUCUUUUUUGGUCAAAUAUACUUUCAGGCAGUUGCGGUCGCUGUGCUCUCCAGGUGGCUUCAAUUGAACUGGAUGUUCAAUCAAAUUUGUAAUAAUAUCAAAAUUCAACGAAUCCAAAUCCACAUCAUAAGUUUCGCCUGGUAAAAUUACAGAAUCCCACCAUUCUACAUUUGGAACUUCUGCUUCUACCGAUUCUGCGACCCGAGGAACAACCAUGGCAAGUUUCACGGCUGAAGAUAUGCCUGUCUUUUUGGAAGCUAGUGAAAUCUCUUGCUGCAAUCGUUCGAGACGGCAUUUCGCACGCAAACGGUUUGCUUGUUUUACAUAUUCACCGUCUUGUUUGAAGGAAAACUCUCGACGAGCACGACCCGGCCCUUUUACUUUGACACGCUUAUCAAAAAACGUUGCAUUCUCUGUAACGCGAUCGUCCGUUGCUUGGGCAGUUUCUUGAACAGCUUUAUUGAACAAUGCGACCUUUUCAGCGCGAAUAUUAGCUUUCAAUGUUGGCUGUCGUUGUAUUAAUUGCACAGCACGUCCAUCUGUGUCUACAGUACGUCCUUCGGAAUCCAAAAUCAAAUCCAAAAUCAGUGGAGUUGGUUUGCCCGGCUGACGAGCAACAGCCUGAUAAUUCAUCAAAGCCGGCAGUUUGUUUGCAAUACUUUGCCUCAAUUCUGCCAUACGAUUCACCCUCAGCAAUGAUGCAUUCAUGAACUCUUUGGCUUGGUCCGGUGCUAUUUUGGACGGUUGCAGUUGCAACACUUUUUUCCGUUCUUCAAUCAUUCUCUGCGCUUUCAGCAUUAUUUCCUGCACUUUGGAAUUUUCCAGAGCAGGCUUCGCGCUAGCAGCAGAAGCGACGCUGUCUAAAUUGUCGGACGUCUUGAUUUCACUCGAUUUCUCAUCAUCAACACGGUCAAACCGACUCUUUCUGCCCGAUGGUUUGAUAAGUUGAGACGAAUCAGAAAAUACGGCGUUCAAAAUUUUUUCCACAUCUUCUUCUUCACUGUGCACUUCAAGCAGAAAAUUAUUAUUAUUACCAAAUUUGAAGUUUGCAAUUUUUCGCUUCUUUGCCGCUGAAGAUGAUCUCUGGGACGCUUGAUCAUCCAUAAAUUCCGCCAACAAACCAAACGAACUCUCAGAACAUGCUGGUGACGCCUGGUAAAUCUCGUACUUGGUCGUACUGAUAUCCGCAGCAGGUCUCCAAGGUGAAUAGCCUCUGGCCGAUAGAAUAAUGUAGGUAAGGGAAGUCGGCAAAACGGAUCCGUAACUUCGGAACAAGGAUUGGCUCUAAGGGCUGGGCCGAUCGGGCUGAGGUUUCAAGCGUGCAGUGUAUGCUUGGCUUAGUUGUGUUGAGGACUUGUUCACUUGCCACCGGUUGUUCGGCUGGUCGAGUGUAUUCGAGUCUGAAGCAGAGCUGGCCGACAGACCGGCACGUGCAGAACCUGAGCUGCGCGGCUGUCCGUUUUCGUGUACAGACCGUUUCGGUCGGCAUUCAACAGCCAACUUAGAACUGGCACGGACACAAGGAAUCUGACUGUAUAAUUAAAACAAAGCAUUGCGAUGGCCGAUGAUCGGUGAUGACGCAAUGUGAUUUCUGCCCAGUGCUCUGAAUGUCAAAGUGAAGAAAUUCAAUCAAGCGCGGGUAAACGGCGGGAGUAACUAUGACUCUCUUAAGGUAGCCAAAUGCCUCGUCAUCUAAUUAGUGACGCGUAUGAAUGGAUCAACAAGAUUCCUUCUGUCCCUAUCUACUAUCUAGCGAAACCACAGCCAAGGGAACGGGCUUGGCAAAAUCAGCGGGGAAAGAAGACCCUGUUGAGCUUGACUCUAGUCUGACUCUGUGAAGAGACAUGAAAGGUGUAGCAUAGGUGGGAGAUUGUCAAUUUGCCAUCGUUCACGCGAUGGUCCGGUGAUCGCCAAUGAAAUACCACUACUUUGAUCGUUUCUUUACUUAUUCGGUAAAGCGAAAAAAUUGUGGCCAAUUUGGCGGCGUUUAUGUCGCUGUUGGUCAUUGUUUUCAUGUUGGAUUGAAGCUUUGUUUACAGCCGUCGCUUUGUGUCUUCAUUUGGCGCAUUGUUGUACUGGGUUAUCCCAGUGUGUGAUGUGGUCACAAUGGAUGAUCGGCGAUAGGCUUGAAGUGAUUCGCUCCGGAAACAGUGUCAGACGGGGAGUUUGACUGGGGCGGUACAUCUGUUAAACGAUAACGCAGGUGUCCUAAGGUAAGCUCAGCGAGGACAGAAACCUCGCCUAGAGUAAACGGGCACAAGCUUACUUGAUUUUGAUUUCCAGUACGAAUAGAAACCGCGAAAGCGUGGCCUAUCGAUCCUUUUGAUUGUGUAGAUUUCAUGCAAGAGGUGUCAGAAAAGUUACCACAGGGAUAACUGGCUUGUGGCAGCCAAGCGUCCAUAGCGACGUUGCUUUUUGAUCCUUCGAUGUCGGCUCUUCCUAUCAUUGCGAAGCAGAAUUCGCCAAGCGUUGGAUUGUUCACCCACCAAUAGGGAACGUGAGCUGGGAUUAGACCGUCGUGAGACAGGUUAGUUUUACCCUACUGAUGACAAGUCGUUGCGAUAGUAAUCCUGCUCAGUACGAGAGGAACCGCGGGAUCAGACAUUUGGUUCAUGCGCUCGGCUGAAAGGCCGGUGGCGCGAAGCUAGCAUCUGCAAGAUUAUGACUGAACGCCUCUAAGUCAGAAUCUUUUCUAGUCAUUGG